rnacentral:rRNA from 1 species
AAACGGCGGCCGUAACUAUAACGGUCCUAAGGUAGCGAAAUUCCUUGUCGGGUAAGUUCCGACCUGCACGAAUGGCGUAAUGAUGGCCAGGCUGUCUCCACCCGAGACUCAGUGAAAUUGAACUCGCUGUGAAGAUGCAGUGUACCCGCGGCAAGACGGAAAGACCCCGUGAACCUUUACUAUAGCUUGACACUGAACAUUGAGCCUUGAUGUGUAGGAUAGGUGGGAGGCUUUGAAGUGUGGACGCCAGUCUGCAUGGAGCCGACCUUGAAAUACCACCCUUUAAUGUUUGAUGUUCUAACGUGGACCCGUAAUCCGGGUUGCGGACAGUGUCUGGUGGGUAGUUUGACUGGGGCGGUCUCCUCCUAAAGAGUAACGGAGGAGCACGAAGGUUGGCUAAUCCUGGUCGGACAUCAGGAGGUUAGUGCAAUGGCAUAAGCCAGCUUGACUGCGAGCGUGACGGCGCGAGCAGGUGCGAAAGCAGGUCAUAGUGAUCCGGUGGUUCUGAAUGGAAGGGCCAUCGCUCAACGGAUAAAAGGUACUCCGGGGAUAACAGGCUGAUACCGCCCAAGAGUUCAUAUCGACGGCGGUGUUUGGCACCUCGAUGUCGGCUCAUCACAUCCUGGGGCUGAAGUAGGUCCCAAGGGUAUGGCUGUUCGCCAUUUAAAGUGGUACGCGAGCUGGGUUUAGAACGUCGUGAGACAGUUCGGUCCCUAUCUGCCGUGGGCGCUGGAGAAUUGAGGGGGGCUGCUCCUAGUACGAGAGGACCGGAGUGGACGCAUCACUGGUGUUCGGGUUGUCAUGCCAAUGGCACUGCCCGGUAGCUAAAUGCGGAAGAGAUAAGUGC